CCCUGGUCUUUCUUCAACUCUAUGCACCAGAUGCCAUCUGAUCUCAGAAGCUAAGUAAGGUCAACCCCGGUUAGUAUUUGGAUGGGAGACUGCCAGUGAAUACCAAGUUCUGCAGGGU
rnacentral:rRNA from 1 species